GUAGUCAUAUGCUUGUCUCAAAGAUUAAGCCAUGCAUGUCUAAGUAUAAGCAAUCUAUACGGUGAAACUGCGAAUGGCUCAUUAAAUCAGUUAUCGUUUAUUUGAUAGUACCUUACUACUUGGAUAACCGUGGUAAUUCUAGAGCUAAUACAUGCUAAAAACCUCGACUUCGGAAGGGGUGUAUUUAUUAGAUAAAAAACCAAUGCCCUCCGGGGCUCCUUGGUGAUUCAUGAUAACUUAACGAAUCGCAUGGCCUUGUGCCGGCGAUGGUUCAUUCAAAUUUCUGCCCUAUCAACUUUCGAUGGUAUGGUCUUGGCUUACCAUGGUUUCAACGGGUAACGGGGAAU
rnacentral:rRNA from 1 species